AAUUACAUUAAAAUGGGCCCAGCCUGACUCCGGACUUUCUCAGACCAGGAGCACCUGGCAGCAGCCAGCGAGCCAGGCCCUAUGGGCCUUCUCCAACCCAGGAGAGCUUUUCUGUGUUUAUUUGAAUGAACUGCGUGUUAUACAACAUCUGCAAACAGGACAAACGGAUUAAGUCUCUUUAGGUCAUUUUAUUAAAGGACACGGAGCAGGACUGGGGGUGAUGGAGACGUCAUCACAGCCAUUCACCAGGAAAACGCCGCCGUCCUGCCCAGCAGGCACUCACUCUGGAGGGGUUGUGAAAAUAGGAAGAUUGGAUGACCUGAGCAGGAAUCUGGGCUCUGCCACUCUCUGAAUUGGACAUGAUGAAGUUACAAGAAGUAACCCUGAAGAGGGUCCUCCCCAGAACCUGACCACCCUGUCACCCUGACCUCGGACUUGCAGCCUCCAGAACUGAAACUAAAAUGGAGUGAGAACAGAAGGCAUCUUGGCGGCUACAGCCCUGCACUCAUGACCUGUCGCAGCUCACGCCACUUUGCCCCCCUGCCCCUGUGUCUGGUGCUCGGGUGGACCCAGGCGCUCGUCCUCACCGUCACCCCAGAGGGCUCCUUCACCUGCCUCCUUCUCGUUGUCUCCCGAU